UACGAAGGGGGCUAGCGUUGCUCGGAAUCACUGGGCGUAAAGGGUGCGUCGGCGGGUCUUUAAGUCCGAGGUGAAAUCCUGGAGCUCAACUCCAGAACUGCCUUUGAUACUGAAGAUCUUGAGUUCGGGAGAGGUGAGUGGAACUGCGAGUGUAGAGGUGAAAUUCGUAGAUAUUCGCAAGAACACCAGUGGCGAAGGCGGCUCACUGGCCCGAUACUGACGCUGAGGCACGAAAGCGUGGGGAGCAAACAGG
rnacentral:rRNA from 1 species